CUUUGGUCUCUUCUCUAGCUAAUGACCACUCAUAUAAUCCUCCUCCUCCUCCCCCCGUUACAAAACCACCACCCCCCCCAAAGGUGAAACCCACUCCUCCUCCUCCGGUUUUAAAACCACCACCGCCGGCGCCGCCAAAGCUGAAACCUCCUCCUCCUCCUCUAGUUGUAAAACCACCACCGCCGGGGCCGCCAAAGGUGAAACCUCCUCCUCCUCCUCCAGUUGUAAAACCACCGUCGCCACCGCCGCCAAAGGUGAAACCUCCUCCUCCUCCUCCGCUUGUAAAACCGCCGCCGCCAAAGGUGAAACCUCCUCCUCCUCCAGUUGUAAAACCGCCGCCGCCGCCACCGCCAAAGGUGAAACCUCUUCCUCCUCCUCCAGUUGUAAAACCACCACCACCGCCGCCAAAGGUGAAACCUCCUCCUCCCUCUCCAGUUGUAAAACCACCACCACCACC
rnacentral:lncRNA from 1 species